rnacentral:rRNA from 1 species
UACGAAGGGGGCUAGCGUUGUUCGGAAUCACUGGGCGUAAAGCGCACGUAGGCGGACUUUCAAGUCAGGGGUGAAAUCCCGGGGCUCAACCUCGGAAUUGCCUUUGAUACUGUAGGUCUCGAGUCCGGAAGAGGUGGGUGGAAUUCCUAGUGUAGAGGUGAAAUUCGUAGAUAUUAGGAAGAACACCGGUGGCGAAGGCGGCCCACUGGUCCGGUACUGACGCUGAGGUGCGAAAGCGUGGGAGCAACAGAUGAGAUACC